CGAGGGCCGGCAGCUGCCGCUCACCCACAUUUCUCGGAGGUGACGAGAGGCAGGACUUUCCCUUUUGGUCCGCCCCUAAAUGACUCAGAGCCGCAUAAUAAUGAGAAAAGACACUCAUCGCGGUGAAACGGUUGCCCCACGAUUGGCGGGCCCAGCCAGGUGUCCGUUUCCUGCAGGGCUUCCGCGCCGCUGUCGGCGGGGGCCGCACCCACAGCCCAGAGCGCCUGGUGCUGGACGCCGGGACCUCGCCGACCGGUAGGCGCCUGAGUGGCCUUUUUAGAGGCACUCAACACUCGCUCCAGGAGAUCGGGGGUUUGUCUAUGGUGUUCCAAACAGCGCUUGGCACGUGGACACUUCGGAGCACCUGACACAGUUAUGUGUCUGUUAACCAGAGGAUUCCAUCAUUAGAACGAAGCCCUUCUGGCAGGGGCUUCAUCCUCGCUAGGACCUGCAGUCGACGCUCCAAAACUCUCUGCUAUGGCCUGGGAAAGCAGUAGAAGAUGGCCCAAGUCCUUGGGCCCCUGCACCCACGUGGGAGGCCAGGAAGAAACUUCUGGCUCCUGGCUUCGGACUGGCGCAGCUCUGGCUGUUACGGCCAAUUGGGGAGUGAACCGUCGGAUGGAAGAUCAAUCUCUCUCUCUCUCUCUCUGUGUAACUCUGACUUUCAAAUAAAUAAAUAAAUCUUUAAAAUAAAAAAUAUACAUAUAAAAGAAAGAAGACAACAGAACAUGCCCUUGGGAAGCUGACUGCUGGGGGAGACCAAAGCCAAGACCUACGGAACUGCAAGCUGGGCCAAGGGCUAAGAAGGAGCAAGGCAGGAUGGCAGACACCACACAGCCAGGUGGAGACGGGGAAGACCUCCCCAGACGGCUGAGGGAGGAGGGGGCAGUGAAUGGAUGGGGAGGAGUUAGCCAAGCAAAGAGUAAAGUUUUCCAAGCAGAGGGCACAGCACAUGUUAGGGUGUGAACGUGCUGGGCUGGAAGACACCUGGCCUAACCCAGGGGCCAAAUGAGGCCCAUGGGGCCCCAGCAUCUGAGGGCUGGAGAGUGGUGUGAGGGGAGGCGGCAGGCACCCUCGUAGGCACCAAGCGCUCUGAACUGUGGCCCCUCGGGUUUCUGCUCCCUGCUUUCUCAGAAGGGCCAUACAGCAUUUCAUCCCCUCCUGGUCUCCAGUACAGAGAAGACACCCGGUGCACAGCACGCAUCAACACGAGCUUGUGGGCUGCACUGUCCCCAAAGACACAGCCGGCCACCUCUCCCUCUGCCCAUUCCCCCACCCCAAAAGCAAGUAUCCCACUGGCUCACCUAACGGAAGCACUCAGGACUGGUUAACCACAAGACCAACGAGAAACCGAGGACAAAAUGGGAGCAGCUGCAAGAGCUACAGUGCCGUGUUUGACAAGUGCCACUGAACACGCGGCUGGCAGAUGUGACCACACGGUCCUCGGAGGCCAGACUCUCAGGGUACAUUUCAAUCAGACAGCAACCAGUGUACAGGCUUGCCAAAAAUCACAAGCCCCAAGACUUGAACUAUCAAUUUGGAGUUCAAAACACAGCUUCCAAGAUUUAACACUUUCUUGAUUAAAACAAACAAACAAACAAACAAAAAAACAGAAAAACACAACUGAGUCAGCAGAAAUUUCCAAGUUGCUGGGGUGAACGAGCCCUUGGCCCAGCCAUUUUCAGGAACACACAGUUCUUCAAAUCAUACUCAACUCUCGCUUCCUGCCUAGCUAAUAGAUCUUGAGCUAAUCUAAACUAAUAAUUAUUUUGGCUAAGCCAAACUAGGUUUUUAACUCCUUUUGGAAGGAAGGGGUGGGGUAGGGGGAGCAAAGAUCUAUUACACAUUGUUUGAAGACAUCUAAUGAAGAAACACAAUUAAGCAAAUUUUAGGGCCAACUUUUUGUAGCACAGCAGGGUGCCACCUGCAACAAUGACAUCAGAGUUCUGGUUCCACUCCUGGCUGCUCUGCUUCUA